GGAGAGGUUGUUCAGUGGUAGAGUGUCUGCUCAGCAUGGAGAAGGUCCCAGGUUCAAUCCCAGACCUCUGCA
rnacentral:tRNA from 1 species